AACAGACCACUAGGAGCUGUGGCUUAUCCUGGUGGCAGCAACAGGCAGGUGCCAGAAUUCUUACUUGCCAACGGUCCCUCUUCCUGGCUCCUGCCUUUGGCCGAAGCAGCUGAACCAAAUAGAUGUUUUGCACCGAAGUACUGUGCGGAGGAGUUGCUACUGGAAUAGAUUUCAAAAGGCAGCACAUUUUUGGGAAUUUGAUUCAGGCUCUUUAUUGUGCCAGACCUGGAGCAGAAAUCUGAGCUGGAAGCAGGCAAGGCCAGUGGCCAGUCAAAAGACUGUACUGACUGCUGGUGAGACUGCUGCAAUGGCUCGUCAGUGUACCCCGCUCCUCCAGCAGCCAGCGCACUGCCUCAAUACCCUCGUUCAAGGUCACCAGCUGCUGCAGGAUCUUCACAUCGAUAGCUCGCAGGCACUCUGGAGGUGGAAGGAAGAGGAUCAGAAGUUCAAGGCCAUUCUCAGCUAUGUUGGCAGUUCAAGACCAGCCGGAGCUUCAUGAAACCCUGUUUUAAAAUUAAUGAAAUAAAAUAAUAAAAUAAAACAAGAUU